rnacentral:lncRNA from 1 species
CAGUAUCUAUUUUGCAGAAAAUUUUGAAACUAAAGGCACUCCCAAUGCAGAAACUACCAUGGUUUCUAUAGACAUUAAUUGCAAUGCCACCUAAUCAUUUUGCUGAUGUGGUAAUGUAGUUAUUGAAGAGAGAGAAAAAAAUCAUAGAAACUAGGUCUAAGAUAGAAACCAUGUCUACACAAUUCAAGACAUGAAGUGAUAUGAUUAGCUAAGAAUGGAGAGAGAAUGAAUGUGAUUGGAUAUAAAAAUAUUCUAUAGAAACUAUCCAUUUAGAGCAUACUUUCUAUAUAUAAUAUCUAUAAAAAUUAAUGAGUAUAGAAAUUAUAUGUAGUUUCUAGCAUUGGGAGUGCUCUAAACAAGGCCUUUAUACUCGUGUACGGAUCGGUGGAAUUAAUUAAAAUGCUAGUAAUUUUGGGAGGUGGCCCCCAAUAAUCCAUGCCUUUGACUUUGUGUGGGUCGAUGUAUCGACAACCACUUAUUUGUGCCGACAAUUUUAGUACUUGCCACGUGCUGCAUUAGGGAAGUCAUGUCUUUUAUAUUUUACGAAUUUUUUUUACACAACUAAUAUUAUGCUAGAGCUUAAUUAGCAUUAAAAUACAUGUGUACACAUGAGCAAAGAACCCUAGCCUAUUAGCAAUAUUACAA